rnacentral:rRNA from 1 species
GGCGGACGGGUGAGUAACGCGUGGGAACGUGCCCUUUGCUACGGAAUAGUCCCGGGAAACUGGGUUUAAUACCGUAUGUGCCCUUCGGGGGAAAGAUUUAUCGGCAAAGGAUCGGCCCGCGUUGGAUUAGGUAGUUGGUGGGGUAAUGGCCUACCAAGCCGACGAUCCAUAGCUGGUUUGAGAGGAUGAUCAGCCACACUGGGACUGAGACACGGCCCAGACUCCUACGGGAGGCAGCAGUGGGGAAUCUUAGACAAUGGGGGCAACCCUGAUCUAGCCAUGCCGCGUGAGUGAUGAAGGCCUUAGGGUUGUAAAGCUCUUUCAGCUGGGAAGAUAAUGACGGUACCAGCAGAAGAAGCCCCGGCUAACUCCGUGCCAGCAGCCGCGGUAAUACGGAGGGGGCUAGCGUUGUUCGGAAUUACUGGGCGUAAAGCGCACGUAGGCGGACUGGAAAGUUGGGGGUGAAAUCCCGGGGCUCAACCUCGGAACUGCCUUCAAAACUAUCAGUCUGGAGUUCGAGAGAGGUGAGUGGAAUACCGAGUGUAGAGGUGAAAUUCGUAGAUAUUCGGUGGAACACCAGUGGCGAAGGCGGCUCACUGGCUCGAUACUGACGCUGAGGUGCGAAAGCGUGUGGAGCAAACAGGAUUAGAUACCCUGGU